UUUAUCAAAAAAUCGAAUUUGUUUGACACGUUACAGUUCGCUAAAUGAAAUCCAAGUGUCUUUAUUAAAUUACAAGCAUUGUUUCUCUUAUAACGACACGAGUAUUGGCUAUAUAAACCGAUAAUAUCGUGUAAAAAUUAUUUACUUGGAAGAAUGAAAGCGAUAAUUUUGAUUUUCCUGCUCUGCGUCAGUAUACGAUUCACAAAAGUUUCAAGCUUGACGUCACGCUAUACUCCUUAUCCUGGAAGAUAUUAUAGAGAUUGCUCAUUUAUAGAGCUAAGAAAUGCUUGCCAUAGACAAUGUGUAGUACAGAAAAGGAUUAUAUGCAGUCAAGUGUAUCGUCACUGUCGUUGUUAAAAAAUGGCAGUCGUGGAAAUUUCGGAAUUAAAUUUUUAGAUCUGACGUGAUUCUUUCGUAAUUUCGAUAUAUCGUAAUGUCAUUUUUACAAAUUUGUAAUUUAACAAAAUUAAUAAAUGUUAAAUUUAUUGUUUA